rnacentral:rRNA from 1 species
CAGUCGCCGCGGGAAUACGUAGGGUGCAAGCGUUAAUCGGAAUUACUGGGCGUAAAGCGUGCGCAGGCGGUUAUAUAAGUCAGAUGUGAAAUCCCCGGGCUCAACCUGGGAACUGCAUUUGAGACUGUAUGGCUAGAGUGUGUCAGAGGGGGGUAGAAUUCCACGUGUAGCAGUGAAAUGCGUAGAGAUCGGGAGGAACAUCAGUGGCGAAGGCGGCCAUCUGGGACAACACUGACGCUGAGGCACGAAAGCGUGGGGAGCAAACAGGAUUAGAUACCCCGGUAGUCCCUGUCUCUUAUAC